CCCUUCUGUAGCCAUUUUUGAACGAAUUUUUUAAACAUCAAUUGUAUCAAAACUACAGAUAUAAUGAAUAAUAGAGACAGGCCUUUUUGAACAUAUACUAGGGGAAAACUUGAUGCAAAUUUGGCAUUAUUAUUUACUGUUGCAUUGCAUUUAAUAGAAAAAGAGUACUUUGUGGCAAAUAAACCAAGAUUAUUAUAGAAAAUCCACAGCC
rnacentral:lncRNA from 1 species